rnacentral:rRNA from 1 species
ACCUUCCCUGAUCUGGUCUGAUUGCACCCGAUCCCAUCCAAUUUUGGAAGCUAAGCAGUCCUGGGCCCGGCUAGUACCUGGAUGGGAGACUGCCUGGGAAUCCUGGGUGCUGUAGGCC